UCCCUGGUGACUAAGAUAGUAAAGAAUCUGCCUGCAAUGCAGGAGACCCAGGCUUGAUCCCUGGGUAGGGAA
rfam:TPA: Bos taurus chromosome 7, whole genome shotgun sequence.